rnacentral:rRNA from 1 species
ACGGUACCCUUAGAGGAAGCACCGGCUAACCACGUGCCAGCAGCCGCGGUAAUACGUGGGGUGCAAGCGUUGUUCGGAAUUACUGGGCGUAAAGCGCGUGUAGGUGGCUAUGCAAGUCGGAUGUGAAAGCCCUUGGCUUAACCAAGGAAGUGCGUCCGAAACUACUUAGCUUGAGUGCGGGAGAGGAGGGUGGAAUUCCCAGUGUAGAGGUGAAAUUCGUAGAUAUUGGGAGGAACACCGGAGACGAAAGUGACUCUCUAGACCGCAACUGACACUAAGACGCGAAAGCGUGGGUAGCAAACAGGAUUAGAUACCCUGGUAGUCCACGCCGUAAACGAUGGGUACUAGGUGUUGUGAGCUUAACACUCGCAGUGCCGUAGCAAACGCAUUAAGUACCCCGCCUGGGGAGUACGGUCGCAAGAUUAAAACUCAAAGGAAUUGACGGGGGCCCGCACAAGCGGUGGAGCAUGUGGUUCAAUUCGACGCAACGCGAAAAACCUUACCUAGGCUUGACAUCUGGAGAAUUUCCUAGAAAUAGGAAAGUGCUCGCAAG